UACGUAGGGGGCAAGCGUUGUCCGGAAUCAUUGGGCGUAAAGCGCGUGUAGGCGGCUCGGUAAGUCUGCUGUGAAAGUCCAGGGCUCAACCCUGGGAUGCCGGUGGAUACUGUCGAGCUCGAGUCCGGAAGAGGCGAGUGGAAUUCCUGGUGUAGCGGUGAAAUGCGCAGAUAUCAGGAGGAACACCAAUGGUGAAGGCAGCUCGCUGGGACGUUACUGACGCUGAGACGCGAAAGCGUGGGGAGCAAACAGG
rnacentral:rRNA from 1 species